rnacentral:rRNA from 1 species
UACGGAGGAUGCGGGCGUUAUCCGGAUUUAUUGGGUUUAAAGGGUGCGCAGGCGGAUUUUUAAGUCAGCGGUCAAAUCGUGGGGCUCAACCCCAUCCAGCCGUUGAAACUGGGGAUCUAGAGUGUGCGAGAGGUAUGCGGAAUGCGUGGUGUAGCGGUGAAAUGCAUAGAUAUCACACAGAACACCGAUUGCGAAGGCAUCUCACGAAUCCGCUAUUGACGCUGAUGCACGAAAGCGUGGGUAUCAAACAGG